rnacentral:lncRNA from 1 species
CAGAAAAAGUGGGUCUGGAUCGAGUCAGCAAAAUCGGGUCAAGUAGUGUAAUAAAUAAAUUAGUUCCUGUACCCAGCGAAUUUCUUGAAAGUACAUCUGUUAUCCUUUGCAAGAACAGAAAUUCCCUAUUACAACGCUCCAAUCUCUCCGUCCAACUGCCUUGUCAUAAUCAAUAUACCCCAUGAACAUUUCAGUUGUUUUACAAGCAGCCGCGGGCAUGACGUUCUGCCAAUUUGCCCCUCUCCCAGAAAAAGCAGCAUGUAUUGGUUGCAAUUUAUAUGCGCAGGAUCGCUUACAAGCCAGCGAGUUGGGAACGCAAACCGGCAGCAUUCAUGGCCAGUUGCUGCUUUUGCCGCUUCUGCUGAUGCUGUUGUUUUUGUUAUUGUUAUUGUUUGAUGCAUGCACGCUGAUUUUUAUGGUCGGACUAGCGGCCAGAAAAGAAUUCCAACGCAACUGCUAAAGGAGAUGGAGAUGGAAACUAGGAAUGGGACCGCGACCGAGACUGGGCGUUAACUGCGAAGUAAUUGCGUAUCGGCUAUGCGAGUACAUCAAUUGGAUUUGAAAUUUGUACACAUGUUGAUGGAUUCCUGUAGCCAGCCUAUGAGAGGGGUACCUGGCUGACUGACUGGCGGACGGUCACGGUCUCAGGACUGCCGCUGUGCCUUGGAUAGUAAGAAAAGGGAAGAACAUUGAACCAUUUGUCUCUUGAUAAUUAUCAUUUCAGUAUGAUAGCAUCAAUUUUCAAAAACAUUUGAUGAUUUCUGGUGCCUGUGUCGGUCGUUAACGAUAUGUUGUCCAGGCCUGCCAAAUGCUUCUCCGAGGCACCUGGAAACUGCUGAUAAACAAAUACGCUGUACGAAACAGAAGCCAUAGGAUGCAUUGCAUGGCUUGUGAUAUAAAUGUGAGAUUAUAAGUUAUUUCCCGAACAAGAAACUAACAUACAUUUCUGGCUAUCAGUCUAAUUGACUUCCCUUCCUCUUUCAAACAGUACACCCUAAACCCGUUGCAAUUGGUGCAUAUUUCAUAACCAAAAAUUAGCCAAUAAAAAAAAAUCAAAAUGUACGACUUUCCCAAUAGUCCAAGCCAUAACGUAUAAAAUCCCCACGAACGAC